rnacentral:rRNA from 1 species
AUUGAACGCUGGCGGCAGGCCUAACACAUGCAAGACGAACGGUAACAGGAAACAGCUUGCUGUUCCGCUGACGAGUGGCGGACGGGUGAGUAAUGUCUGGGAAACUGCCUGAUGGAGGGGGAUAACUACUGGAAACGGUAGCUAAUACCGCAUAACGUCGCAAGACCAAAGAGGGGGACCUUCGGGCCUCUUGCCAUCGGAUGUGCCCAGAUGGGAUUAGCUAGUAGGUGGGGUAACGGCUCACCUAGGCGACGAUCCCUAGCUGGUCUGAGAGGAUGACCAUCCACACUGAAACUGAGACACGGUCCAGACUCCUACGGGAGGCAGCAGUGGGGAAUAUUGCACAAUGGGCGCAAGCCUGAUGCAGCCAUGCCGCGUGUAUGAAGAGGGCCUUCGGGUUGUAAAGUACUUUCAGCGGGGAGGAAGGGAGUAAAGUCAAUACCUUUGCUCAUUGACGUUACCCGCAGAAGAAGCACCGGCUAACUCCGUGCCAGCCGCCGCAGUAA